AUUGAACGCUGGCGGCAGGCUUAACACAUGCAAGUCGAGCGGGGAAAAGUAGCUUGCUACUGGACCUAGCGGCGGACGGGUGAGUAAUGCUUAGGAAUCUGCCUAUUAGUGGGGGACAACAUCUCGAAAGGGAUGCUAAUACCGCAUACGUCCUACGGGAGAAAGCAGGGGACCUUCGGGCCUUGCGCUAAUAGAUGAGCCUAAGUCGGAUUAGCUAGUUGGUGGGGUAAAGGCCUACCAAGGCGACGAUCUGUAGCGGGUCUGAGAGGAUGAUCCGCCACACUGGGACUGGGACACGGCCCGGACUCCUACGGGAGGCAGCAGUGGGGAAUAUUGGACAAUGGGGGGAACCCUGAUCCAGCCAUGCCGCGUGUGUGAAGAAGGCCUUUUGGUUGUAAAGCACUUUAAGCGAGGAGGAGGCUACCGAGAUUAAUACUCUUGGAUAGUGGACGUUACUCGCAGAAUAAGCACCGGCUAACUCUGUGCCAGCCGCCGCAGUAAUAC
rnacentral:rRNA from 1 species